UAGGGAAUCUUGCGCAAUGGGCGAAAGCCUGACGCAGCGACACCGCGUGAGGGAUGAAGGCCUUCGGGUUGUAAACCUCUGUCAGGGGGAAAGAAACUCCAGCUGGUGAAUAGUCGGCUGGACUGACGGUACCUCCAAAGGAAGCGCCGGCUAACUCCGUGCCAGCAGCCGCGGUAAGACGGAGGGCGCAAACGUUGUUCGGAAUCACUGGGCGUAAAGGGCGCGUAGGCGGGAUGCUAAGUCCGAGGUGAAAGCCCGGAGCUCAACUCCGGGAUUGCCUUGGAAACUGACAUCCUAGAGUGCAGGAGAGGAAGGCGGAAUUCCAGGUGUAGCGGUGGAAUGCGUAGAUAUCUGGAAGAACACCAGUGGCGAAGGCGGCCUUCUGGACUGACACUGACGCUGAGGCGCGAAAGCUGGGGGAGCAAACAGG
rnacentral:rRNA from 1 species